rfam:Thermobacillus composti KWC4, complete genome.
CACCGGCUACAACCGCUCGGAACGGGCUGGCAAGCGCGCCCGCGGAUGCGGACGCCGCCUGGUUCAGGCGAGUCUUAGAUCAGGG